rnacentral:rRNA from 1 species
CUACACACGUCAUACAAUGGCUGGUACAAAGGGUUGCCAACCCGCGAGGGGGAGCUAAUCCCAUAAAGCCAGUCGUAGUCCGGAUCGCAGUCUGCAACUCGACUGCGUGAAGUCGGAAUCGCUAGUAAUCGUGGAUCAGAAUGUCACGGUGAAUACGUUCCCGGGUCUUGUACACACCGCCCGUCACACCAUGGGAGCGGGUCUCGCCAGAAGUAGGUAGCCUAACCGUAAGGAGGGCGCUUACCACGGCGGGGUUCGUGACUGGGGUGAAGUCGUAACAGGGUAACC